rnacentral:rRNA from 1 species
UACGUAGGGGGCAAGCGUUGUCCGGAAUUAUUGGGCGUAAAGAGCGUGUAGGCGGUCCGGUAAGUCAGCUGUGAAAGUCAAGGGCUCAACCCUUGAAUGCCGGUUGAUACUGUCGGGCUAGAGUCCGGAAGAGGCGAGUGGAAUUCCCGGUGUAGCGGUGAAAUGCGCAGAUAUCAGGAAGAACACCUAUGGCGAAGGCAGCACUCUGGGACGGUACUGACGCUGAGACGCGAAAGCGUGGGGAGCGAACAGG